AUGCCUAGUCGUAAAAUAUUAAAUUACAACUACAAACGCCUGGGAACUACGAGCCUCAGCUUAAAACCCAAAGGACUUGACGGUGUCCCAUCCCGCUAGAGGAGCCUGUCCUAUAAUCGAUGGUCCCCGAUUCACCUAACCUUUCUUUGCCUAUCAGCCUGUAUACCUCCGUCGUAAACUUACCAUAUGAAUGAUGCACAGUCUAGUUCCAAGAUCUAUUCAUCUAUACGUCAGGUCAAGGUGCAGCCCAUGGAAAGGUAGAGAUGGGCUACAAUUUCUAAUCUAGAACAGACGAAGUACUGCAUGAAACACAGUCAUGAAGGAGGAUUUAGUAGUAAAGAGGAACUAGUGAGUUCUCUUUAACGCGGCCCUGGGACACGUACACACCGCCCGUCGCCCUCUUUAACAAUCAUUAACCAGGUUUCUAACCCCACAGAUAAUAAAAAAGAGGUAAGUCGUAACAUGGUAAGUGUACUGGAAAGUGCACUUGGAUCAA
rnacentral:rRNA from 1 species